rnacentral:rRNA from 1 species
GAUGAACGCUGGCGGCGUGCCUAAUACAUGCAAGUCGAGCGAACGGACGAGAAGCUUGCUUCUCUGAUGUUAGCGGCGGACGGGUGAGUAACACGUGGAUAACCUACCUAUAAGACUGGGAUAACUUCGGGAAACCGGAGCUAAUACCGGAUAAUAUUUUGAACCGCAUGGUUCAAAAGUGAAAGACGGUCUUGCUGUCACUUAUAGAUGGAUCCGCGCUGCAUUAGCUAGUUGGUAAGGUAACGGCUUACCAAGGCAACGAUGCAUAGCCGACCUGAGAGGGUGAUCGGCCACACUGGAACUGAGACACGGUCCAGACUCCUACGGGAGGCAGCAGUAGGGAAUCUUCCGCAAUGGGCGAAAGCCUGACGGAGCAACGCCGCGUGAGUGAUGAAGGUCUUCGGAUCGUAAAACUCUGUUAUUAGGGAAGAACAUAUGUGUAAGUAACUGUACACAUCUUGACGGUACCUAAUCAGAAAGCCACGGCUAACUACGU